CCAAUGCCGUCUUCUGGUAUUUCAUUGGUGUACUCACAUACAUUAAAUAAAUUUUAAGAGAGAGAGAGAGAGAAGGAGGGGAGGGCAGAGAGAGAAGGCCCUAAUAGUAGUCCCAGUAUAAAAGAGCGUAAUAAGCACUGAUAUCAUUUUAGGAAUUCUUACAGGAUCAUCAUUAAGAAUUAAGAAAUCCUCUAUUUGCCGGGCAGUGGUGGUGCAUGCCUUUAAUCCCAGCAUUUGGGAGGCAAAGGUGAAGGCAGACAUUAGGAAGUCUUGGAGCCGCUAGACACUGGCAUUGGACUUCAAGUGUAAAGCUCAGAGUGGAAGUAGCAGUUUCUUCACAGGAAACGUUUCUACCUUUGAAAAAAUGAGUUGGCUGUGAAUCUGCAGUUGUGUAUGGGUUCUCUGUACCGUGUCUGGGUGCAGUUGAAGCACGCCUAGUCAGGUAGUCUCUGCCUUAUUUUAACACUGACAGUCACAGUCUUUUGGUUCCAUGCACGUUUCCUGAUUCCUAUUUCUUUAGGAUGUUAAAAAGAUGUUCAUUUGAUACUCUGCUUUAUUUUUUGGCUUUGUGUUUCUAUGUGCAUGUUGUGUCCUGCAGACUCUAGUACUGCUUUUUCUGUAUCACAUGUUAUUUGUUGUGUCUCCUUUUUAUAUAUGUGGAGAAAUAUUAGUUUCCCUUUUGAUUUCAUCCUUGAUUCAUUGGCUAUUCAAGAGUAACUGAAUUUCUACGUAAACUGAAAAAUGGAGAUACAACUCAUGAGUCGAAAGCAGGAAGAUCACAUGAGUAUAGUCAAAGGUUCAUUAAUUGAUAAAUCUCAUAGACCCAGAACAGGGUCAGAUGCUGUAAUGGUUUCAAAACAAAGCUGGUGUGGCACACACCUUUAGCCUCAGCAGAGGCAGGUGGAUCUGAGUUCCAAGGCCAGUCUACAGAGCAGGUUUCAAGACAGGGCUACACAGAGAAAGCGGUCAGGAGGGUUGUCUAGGAAGAGUUUAAGGUUUGUUCACCUUUCAUUCAAGCUUGUAAAACAGUUACAAGCAAGGCAGUGCUGUGACAUGGUUUGUUUUUAAGCCUCUGACUCUUUUUGCAGUGUCUUCUGCUUAUUUCCUUGCCUUCUAAUCGGUCUUUUAAUAUUUACUUGAUAUAGUCCAAAUUAUUAUGUACUUUGUAUAUUAAAGAGUACUAGUCUGCCAAGGAGUCCAGAGAUAUACAACUUUUAUUCUCUUUAUAAAUACAGGUACAGGAUGCCAAAGAAAACCAAAAGCAACCUUAUAGAAAUAGAAAACAGAAGUGAAAAGUUUAUUUUGAAGAGGGCCUCACUGUACAUAGACCAAGCUGGCCUGAGGAAUUUCUGACAAUCCUGCCUCCCGACUGUAGAUUAAGGGCAGUGGUCACCAGCCAGCAAGAGAUUUCUUUCGAUCAGUGGAUUAAACAGAUUGAGUCCAAACCAGUUCAACUUUAGGGAACAUACAGUUAGGCUUAAGGGACUCUGCAUGAAUAAAGCAUAGUAUGGUUUCAGAUAUGUUUGUGAUUAAAUUGGGAACUUGGUAUUAGUGGGAUGGAAAAAAUGGGAUACAACCUAAGGUUGGAUGCUAAUAAGGACAUUACAAUUUCUGAGCAGAGGGCUUCUAAUUGUAUGUAUAUGAAUACACUGUUGCUGUCUUCAGACACACCAGAAGAGGGCAUCAGAUCCCAUUACAGAUGGUUGUGAGCCUCCAUGUGGUUGCUGGGAAUUGAACUCAGGACCUCUGGAAGAGCCAUCAGUGCUCUUACCUCUGAGCCAUCUCUCCAGUAGGCUUCUAAUUGUAAACAGGGUCUCACUAGGCAACUCUGACUGUCCUGGAACUUAGUAGGCCAGGUUGGCCUUGAACCCCAGAUCACCCUGCCUCUGACUCCAGAGGGCUCGAGUUAAAAGAUGAUUGCCUCCACUCCCAGCUUGGAAGAAGGAAUCUUAAUUGAGAAAAUGGCUCUAUAGGAUUGGUCUACAGGCAAGUCUAGGGCUUUUUCUUGAUUAAUAAUUGCUCUCAGAGGGUUCAGCUCACUGAGUCAGCAUCACCCCUGGGAAGGUGAGCCUGAGUACUAUAAGAAAACAAGCUGAGCUGCGUGCUGGUGGCAGGCAGAUCUCUGUGAGCUGAGGACAACCAGGGCUACACAGAGAAACCCUUUCUUAGGAAAAAAGAAAACCGAGCAAGCCAGAAGACACCAUUGCUCCACGGCUUCUGCUUCAGCUCCUGCCUUGAGUUCUGCCCUGACUUUCCUGAGCGAUGGAGUGUGGGCUCAGCACUGUAAGCUGAAAUAAACCUUUUUUCUCCCCAAGUGCCUUUUGGUCAUGGUGUUUUAUAACAGCGAUGGAAACCCUGACUGAGACAGGAACCACUGGCGAAAGUAACCUUCUCCUUAAGAAAUAGUUUUAAAUGAGUGAUUUGACAAUCUUUACAUUGAGACUGUACACUCCAGGUCCAGCACGAUGGCUCAGUGGGUGAAGACAUUUGCCACCAAACCUGAGGACAUGAAUUGGAUCCUGAGAACCUGCUCCCCAACCCAAGUUGCCCUCAGAUCUCCAUAUUCACAGCGUGGCAUGUAUGCAUGUGCACACACAAUAAAUAUAAAAGUACAAAUAGAAA